rnacentral:rRNA from 1 species
GACGAACGCUGGCGGCGUGCUUAACACAUGCAAGUCGAACGGAAAGGCCCUACUUGCAUGGUACUCGAGAGUCGAACGGGUGAGUAACACGUGGGUGAUCUGCCCUGCACUUCGGGAUAAGCCUGGGAAACUGGGUCUCAUACCGGAUAGGCGCCACUUUCAGUCUGAUGGUUGGAAAGUUUUUUCGGUGUAGGAUGAGCUCGCGGCCUAUCAGCUUGUUUGUGGGGUAAUGGCCUACCCACGCGGCCGCGGGUAGCCGGCCUGGGGGGGGGGACGGCCAACAUUGGACCUGGGAAAGGGCCAGGACUCCACGGGGGGGAGCAGGGGGGGAAAAUGGACAAUGGGGGGAAGGCUGAUGCAGGGAAGGCGGGUGGGGGGAGACCGGCUUUGGGUUGUAAACCCCCUUCGAGCGGGAAGAAGGUGAUUGUGACGGUACCUAGAGAAGAAGCACCGGCUAACUACGUG